GACGAACGCUGGCGGCGUGCUUAACACAUGCAAGUCGAACGGAAAGGCCCUGCUUUUGUGGGGUGCUCGAGUGGCGAACGGGUGAGUAACACGUGAGUAACCUGCACUUGACUUUGGGAUAACUUCAGGAAACUGGGGCUAAUACCGGAUAGGAGCUCCUGCUGCAUGGUGGGGGUUGGAAAGUUUCGGCGGUUGGGGAUGGACUCGCGGCUUAUCAGCUUGUUGGUGGGGUAGUGGCUUACCAAGGCUUUGACGGGUAGCCGGCCUGAGAGGGUGACCGGCCACAUUGGGACUGAGAUACGGCCCAGACUCCUACGGGAGGCAGCAGUGGGGAAUAUUGCACAAUGGGCGGAAGCCUGAUGCAGCAACGCCGCGUGCGGGAUGACGGCCUUCGGGUUGUAAACCGCUUUCGCCUGUGACGAAGCGUGAGUGACGGUAAUGGGUAAAGAAGCACGGGCUAACUACGUG
rnacentral:rRNA from 1 species